rnacentral:lncRNA from 10 species
AGGAACCAGGUCUAGAGGGACCCUGGUGUGUCUUUGCCUGAGAGAUGGAGCUGUCUGUUCCCGGCAUGGCCUGGAGGGGAAGAAGACCGUGGAAGGGAGAGGGCAGGGAGCUGCCUCACCUGCUAACUCUUCUCGAUUGAACCAGCUCUUCGCUUGGGAAUUUGACUGCAAUAUGACUUCUCAGGACACCAGACAUCCUAGCCUUAAAGAGGGCACAGGUACAU